CCACAUUUGUCUUGUAAGUCCACUUUAUUUUUAUCUAUGCUAUAGAAUUGCUUCCAACUUGAAGUAAUAGAAAAUAUAACUAACAUAACUUAAAUAAAGAAUGUUUACUUUUGUCAUAAAAUGCAAAAAUUAGAGUGAGGCAAUUGCUGUCCUUCCAUCUGUUAUCUGGGUUCCUUCUGUCAUUCACAUUUACCAGCCUUAAUAUAUUUCAUUUGUUUCCAUUCUUGCUGCUUUAUUGUCACAACAGAGCUUUUUAGUGUCAGCAUUUAGAAUGGGACUUAAAAUUAUCAAUAUGUAAUUUGCCUCCAUCUUUGUUGAUACCAAAACCUCUGGAUAAGUAGACACAGGAAUCAGACCGAGUUGAAAAUGUCAUCUUUGUUUUUUUAUAAUCCUGAUGAUGUAACAUGUCUUGGAGCUGUGGCUAAAUGAAUUAUCUAAACUGUUCUUGUUUCAUUAGACACACAACCAUAUGCUGAGACAAGCACAGCUAGUCUUUUUUUGAAGGCCUCCCUUUCAAGGAAAGAUUUUACUAUGGUAUAUUUACCAUCCAAAUAAGCAGAGAAAACCUCUGUCCUGAGGACAAAUGCUUCAAGGUCUAAGCUAUACAUGCUCAUUUUCUUUUCUCAAUCUCUGUUCUCCUUUGGGAAAGGAGUACAGGAAGCAGGGAGAGGGUGGAAACUGCCUCUCCAUUGACUAUAAACCAAGAGAAUUUUCUAUGAAGUGCUAAAACGUGAGGGGAGUAGUUAACCUGCCUUUAUUGUGGGGUUGGGGGUGGAGUUCUUCAGUCAUUUUAGCUGUUUUGUCAAAAUGAGUGAAUAUAAUGCGAAAAAGACUCAAGAAACAGUGGCUGAAAUUGAAACCACCUUUGUAAAAAUUGUAACAGUGAGAAAACUAUGGCAGUAGGGGAGAUCUGAUCUAGUCAAUCAUCACCUUGCCUUUAGUCUUCAAGCUUCCCUUUAUUCCUGGGCUUGGGCCUAGCUAACUGUGAUAGACAUUUAGUUUAUAGUUUAAAUGAUAAUAUCCCUUCUCCAAAACAAUGGCCUUUGUAAAGAUAGCAAGAGACAGCUAGGCUAGGAGGAUAGAGGAGCCUGAAUUCUGCCAAAGUGUAGACAUAAACAAUUGUUGGCUAUUAUUCCAGAGGUCACAAGAUAUGCAACUUCCCCAAUUACUCCUGCAGAUAACAUCAUUAUUGUAGAACCUGAGAUUGGCAUUUUGAGAUGUCUUUCAGAGUUUUUGCAUGUCUGACUACCCAUGGCUCCACCUGGAUCUGCGGACCUCUUCUGUGGCCCCACCUAGAAGCAACUCAGCAAGCACAAGGACCAUUUCCCACAUCCCUAUAUAUUUUUAUUUUUAUUUAUUUAUUUAUUCACUUAUUUAUUUAGAGCAGGAGUGAAAGUUUAUUAAAAAGCUUUAGAGCAGGAACAAAAGUAAGUAAGAUACACUUGGAAGAGGGCCAAGUGGGCGACUUGCGAGAUCAAGUGCACUGUUUGACCUUUGACUUGGGGUUUUAUGCGUUGGCAUACUUCCGGGGUGUUGUGUCCUUUCUACCCUGAUUCUUCUCUUGGGGUGGGCUGUCUGCAUGCUCCGUGGCCUGCCAGCACUUGGGAGGGGUCAGCACUUGGGAGGAGGCGCAUGUGCAGUGUUUGCUGGAGUUGUAUGAAUGCUCUCUUGAGGCGUUCUUCCCUUAUCAGCCAAGUGUUCUAACUGGUACAGGGAGAAAGGUGAGGACUUGGGGGGGUCGGGGCCGAAACCCAAAAGAUUCCCCCAGCAUGGAACACUCAUGUUUCCAGGGUCAUGUUGGAGUAGCAAGGGCUGCUCUUUGGUUUGUGCCCAGCCCGCCCCGACCAGGCCCUGUCCUCAGCGCGCUGAGACACUAGCGGGCUCAUUUCCCACAUCCCUAUAACUGCACCUCCAACCAAUCAGCAGCAAGCACCCAUUGCCUAGCCACUCCCACCUCUUCCCCUCAAAACCCUGGCCUCCAAAUUCUCAGAGAUUGAUUUGAGUAAUGACUGCCUACCACGUGGUGUCGCUGGCCUCAUGUCUAUUAAAGUCUGUCUUUAUUGUAAUGCCAUAGUCUGGUUUUGUUUGUGCAGUGGGCAGGAAGAAUUCAUUGGACGGUUAAAAAACGAGACAAGAAAUGGAAGUCUACAAUUAAAAUAACAAUGAAUCUAAAAUGAAAUAUAAAAGUUUUGUGGCCUUGGGCAUAUUGGACAGCCUCUCUGAAGAUUGUUUUUCUGGGAAAAUAAAAAAUGCAUGCUCUAUAAUAAUCUUUUUAUUGUUGGUAAGUUCAAAGGAGGCGUGGACCAUGCAUACAAAUACAUUCUCUCUCUCUCUCUCUCUCUCUCUCUCUCUGUAUAUAUAAACCCCAAGUCAAAGGUCAGACAGUGCACUUGAUCUCGCAAGUCGCCCAGUUGGCCUUCUUCCAAGUAUACUUUACUUCCUUUUGUUCCUGCUCUAAAGCUUUUUAAUAAACUUUCACUCCUGCUCUAAAUAAAUAAAUGAAUGAAUAUAUAUAUAUAUAUAGAGAGAGACAUAUAUAAUCACAAUUCAGGACAUAGCAUAUUUUAUAUACAUAUAUAGACAUACACACAAAUACAUAUAUAUAUAUAUAUAAUGUAUGUGACAGAUUUAGAAAUAUGUGCUCUGAAUUGUAGUUCCAAAAAUGUGAUUAUGACAAAAUUACCCUAACCAAGAAAAAAGAGCUCAUGGGCUCAAAAUUUUGCGAGUGAGCAGUCCUGGUUUUCUUUGUGACAAAAGGCUAAGCCCCAAAACUGAACCAAUUGCAUUGAAAAUACUGACUUUGAGGCAAAGUGUUAACUAACAGAAAAGUACAAAUUAUCUCAAGCAUUAUACACACACACACACAAAUAUCAAGGCAAAUGAAGGAUGCUUUAUUUUAGACAAACUAAAUAUACCUUUGUGGGUAACUCACAGGGUAAAUAAUUUUAUACCCAUUUUGAUCUAUCAUUUAAAAGAUCAUUUGCCCUGGAGAAUACUACAGUCCUAAGCAAAAUUUUAAAAAGAUUACUUCUUACUAAAAUUGUAAUAACCUGCCA
rnacentral:lncRNA from 1 species